rnacentral:rRNA from 1 species
UACGUAGGGUGCGAGCGUUAAUCGGAAUUACUGGGCGUAAAGCGUGCGCAGGCGGUUUUGUAAGCCAGAUGUGAAAUCCCCGGGCUUAACCUGGGAAUGGCAUUUGGGACUGCAAAGCUUGAGUGUGGCAGAGGGGACUGGAAUUCCUGGUGUAGCAGUGAAAUGCGUAGAGAUCAGGAGGAAUACCGAUGGCGAAGGCAGGUCCCUGGGCUGACACUGACGCUGAGGAGCGAAAGCGUGGGGAGCGAACAGG